rnacentral:rRNA from 1 species
UACGUAGGGUGCGAGCGUUAAUCGGAAUUACUGGGCGUAAAGCGUGCGCAGGCGGUUAUAUAAGACAGAUGUGAAAUCCCCCGGGCUCAACCUGGGAACUGCAUUUGUGACUGUAUAGCUAGAGUACGGCAGAGGGGGAUGGAAUUCCGCGUGUAGCAGUGAAAUGCGUAGAUAUGCGGAGGAACACCGAUGGCGAAGGCAAUCCCCUGGGCCUGUACUGACGCUCAUGCACGAAAGCGUGGGGAGCAAACAGGAUUAGAUACCCGCGUAGU